rnacentral:rRNA from 1 species
GACGAACGCUGGCGGCGUGCUUAACACAUGCAAGUCGAACGGAAAGGCCCUGCUUUUGUGGGGUGCUCGAGUGGCGAACGGGUGAGUAACACGUGAGUAACCUGCCCUUGACUUUGGGAUAACUUCAGGAAACUGGGGCUAAUACCGGAUAGGAGCUCCUGCUGCAUGGUGGGGGUUGGAAAGUUUCGGCGGUUGGGGAUGGACUCGCGGCUUAUCGGCUUGUUGGUGGGGUAGUGGCUUACCAAGGCUUUGACGGGUAGCCGGCAUGAGAGCGUGACCGGCCACAAUGGGACUGAGAUACGGCCCAGACUCCUACGGGAGGCAGCAGUGGGGAAUAUUGCACAAUGGGCGGAAGCCUGAUGCAGCAACGCCGCGUGCGGGAUGACGGCCUUCGGGUUGUAAACCGCUUUCGCCUGUGACGAAGCGUGAGUGGCGGUAAUGGGUAAAGAAGCACCGGCUAACUACGUG